rnacentral:rRNA from 1 species
GACGAACGCUGGCGGCGUGCCUAACACAUGCAAGUCGAACGGGACUUUUGGCUUCGGCCGAAAGUUUAGUGGCGAACGGGUGAGUAACGCGUGAGGAACCUGCCUUUCAGUGGGGGACAACAGUUGGAAACGACUGCUAAUACCGCAUAAUGUAUUUAAGGGGCAUCCCUUGAAUACCAAAGAUUUAUUGCUGAAAGAUGGCCUCGCGUCUGAUUAGCUAGUUGGUGGGGUAAUAGCUCACCAAGGCGACGAUGGGUAGCCGGCCUGGGAGGGUGAACGGCCACACUGGAACUGAGACACGGUCCAG